AGGUGCCUCCCGGGGCCUGAGCCUCUCGGCGGGCUGGGCGCGGCGGGGGUGCCUAGCCGGGCCUCAGUUUCCCCUCCCACCGCGCCCUGCUGGAUCGUGGCGGGUGCUUCCCAGGUUAGAGCAACUGUUCCCAACCUCGAUCGACCAGUAGGGGAAAAUAGGGAACUUGGAUCAAAGUGCCAGGGAGGUAAAUGCCUUCGCACAGCCUAGUGGCAGCGGAUCCGUGGGGGGUGGGAACACACUUUAACUGCCCGUGGAGUCAAAUCAUGGGGGUUUACAACCUUGGCCCGUCAGAGCCUCUCAGACCUUCUGUGGGAAUGUUAUUUCCCAAGCGUGGGCUUCCUACAGCAAGGAAGGCAGCACAAAUCCAGCAAGGUGAAAGAGUGGACAAAAGUGUCGCUGUCAAGCAAGUGCCACUCAACAAAGCUUUAUUAAUUCACUACGUGGAUGGCCAUGAGCUAGCCACAAUGAAAGUAGAACGAUGAAUCUAAAAGUCUUGAACUAAAAAAAUUCACUUUCUUUUAGAGUAAAUAUACAAAAUAAUCAUGACUGAAAAUAGUAAUCAUCAUCAUCAUAAAAGCUCAUCUUUUUUAGUGCUUAUUCCAUACCAGACACUGCUAAGCAUGUAAGCAUGAAUCUUUAAAAACCUAUGAGAUGGGAACCUACUUAUAGAUGAGGAAUUGAGGCACAAGGAUACUCAGUGACUUACUCAAAGACACUCUGGGAUGUGGCAAAGCUGGAAUUCAAACACAUAUAAAUAAUCAUGACCCAAUAAUAGCUAACAUUUCUUGAGCAAGUAAUUAUGUACGAAGUACUGAAGUGUUCGGACACUGUGAUUUAGCUCAUUUAAUCCUAACAGUCCUGUAAGAGGGGGUGCCUUUAUUGCAUCCGUUUUGCAGAUAAGGAAAGUGAGGAAUGGAGAAAUUAAAUAACUAGUUAGUCUUGCAGCUAGUAAGUGAAAAAGCCCGGGUUUGAGCCCAAGCCAGUCACAGGCCUGUGACAUAACCACCGUGCUAUUAAUAUAUUGCCCAAGAAAAGAAAGUGUUGUAGUGGGUCAAAGGGAGAGCUCAGGUGUAAACUGUGGACGUCGAAAAAGGGUUUGUGGUGACCGGGCGCGGUGGCUCGCGACUGUAAACCCAGCACUUUGGGAGGCCAAGGCGGGCGGAUCACAAGGUCAGGAGAUCGAGACCAUCCUGGCUAACACAGUGAAAUCCCAUCUCUACUAAAAAUACAAAAAAUUAACCGGGCGUGGUGGCACACGCCUGUAGUCCCAGCUACUCGGGAGGCUGAGGCAGGAGAAUCGCUUGAACCCAGGAGGCAGAGGUUGCAGUGAGCAGAGAUCGUGCCACUGCACUCCAGCCUGGGAAACAGAGCGAGAUUCCAUCUCAAAAAAAAAAAAAAAGAAAAAGGGUUUGUGUUUUGCAACUCCAGUGUUAUAAUGGAUACAGGCAAAGACCAUCAGUAAAUACUAAAACCAUCUGGUGAAAAAUUAUUGUGAAGCGGAAUAUUCUCUUUGUCUCAAAGUAUCACCUUCAAAGUAUACUUCCUUAAAAAACACAAAAUACCUCUUCACAAUGGAAAGAUCUGGUAGAACCACCUUAAUCAAGUAAUUAAAACUAGUAUCACCAAUUUUUAAAAAACUAGCAUUUUCUGCUUUCUAAAGUGAUGCAAUAAAAAAUGCUAAAGGGUAAUAUUUAAAAGAUGGUAUAAUCAUGACUCAGAUGUAGAAUGAACAUGUAUCAAAGGUAUUCCUUAGCUCAUUCAUUAAUGUGAGAACCGGUAACAUGUCACAGCUGGUUCAAAGGAAAAUCCAAGGAGAAUCCAACAAAUAUUCAAGCAGUUAGGAAUGCUGAAAUAAGGUUGUCUAUAGAUGGAAAAUUGGUCAGUAACCAUAGGUCAAAAAACAGCUGCGUACGCAAUAGACACAAUUUGCAUUUCUAAAGACAAAAAUCGUGUAUAUUACCAUCAGUAGUCUACAAUUUACAGAGUUGUAAAAUACCUCAAAGACAGUGGCAGACACAAGACCCCAUAGAAUCAGAUAACCCAAAAGACUGUACUAAACAGCUAGCAUUCCAUUACAGUUGACCACUAAUAUUUUUGGUCCAUUUCAAAGUCUUUCACAGUUAUUCCCUACCGUACACACUAUCACAAGUAGUCUUGCCAAGAAGUUCAACUUAAUCUAAUUGAGAUAAAACAAUCAAAUUCAAACUGUGAAACAUAUGACAAGAAAACUGAACUGGACUAUUGCAAAAUAUUAAUGCGCUGAAAAAACAACUCUCCUCCAAAAAAAAAAAGAGAAAAAAAGUGGAAGUGCUACUCUAAAUCCAUGUAGCAAGCAAUAACCUGUGGGUCAAAUGUGGUAAGGCAGCUGUUUUGUAAAUAAAGUUUUGUGGGAAUACGGCCACACCCAUGUGUUUAUGUAUUAUCUAGGGCUGCUUUUGCCUGCAAUGACACAGUUGAGUCGUUGCAACAGAGACUGUAUGACCUGAAAAUGCUAACAUAUUUUACCAUAUGGCCCUCCGCAGAAAAAGCUUGCCAACCUCUGUUCUAGAUCAGUGGUUUUCAAAAGUGCGGUCCUUAGACAAGCAACUUUUGUGUCACCUACCAGCUUGUUAGAAAUGCCAUUUCAUGGGUCCUGCCUCAACCUAUUGAAUGAAAAUCUCUGGAGAUGGGCACCAGGAGAUUGCUCUAGCAAGCUCUCCAGGAGAUUCUCAUACACAUGGAAGUUUGGCACCGGGAGAUUGCUCUAGCAAGCUCUCCAGGAGAUUCUCAUACACGUGGAAGUUUGGCACCAGGAGAUUGCUCUAGCAAGCUCUCCAGGAGAUUCUCAUAAACGUGGAAGUUUGGCACCAGGAGAUUGCUCUAGCAAGCUCUCCAGGAGAUUCUCAUACACAUGGAAGUUUGAGAACCAUUGUCCUAAAUUAAAGGAGACUAAAAAGGCAUGACAAAAUGCAAUGCGUGAUUCUUACUUGGAGCCUAGACCCAAAAAUAGGAAGGUAUAAGGGACAUUUGGAGACCACUGGAAAAUUUUUAAUGUAAAUCCUAUAUAAGGGACUUUAAAGCAGCAGUCCCCAACCUUUUGGCACCAGGCACCAAUUUCGUGGAAGACAAUUUUUCCAUGGAUGGUGGAGGGCUGUUGUGGGGGAUGUUUCAUCAGGCAUCACAAGGACAGUCCACCCUAGACCCCUCUCAUGCACAAUAGGGUUUGCACCACCACUUAUCUGACAGGAGGCGGAGCUCAGCGGUAAUGCCCUCGUUCUCCUGCUGUGCGGCCAGGUUCCUAACAGGCCACAGACCAGUACAAGUCCAUGGCCCGGAGGGUUGGGGGACUCCUGCUGUAAAGUCAAAUACUGCAGGGCAUAAUUCUCCUGUAUUUCAUUUAAAUUUUCUGAAAAACCUUUGAGGAAGCAGAGACUCACAGAUAUCAGCCUAAGACCCCCUGUUAUAGGCUGAAUUGUGUCCCCUAAAAGAAUACGUUGAACUCAUAACCCCCAGUACUUCAAGUGUGACCUUAUUUGAAAAUAGGGUCAUUCCUUAUGGAUAAAUUAUGAUGAGGUUAUACUAGAGUAGGGUGGGUUCUUAAUCCAGUAUGACUGGUGUACUUUCAAGAAGUGGGCAAGAAACACACAAGGAGAAGGCAGCCAUAUGAGAAUGGAGGUGCUAUGCAUCUACAAGCCAAGGAACACCAAGGAUUGCCAGCAACACCAGAAGCUGGGACAAAGGCAUGGAACAGAUUCUCCCCUAGAGCCUUCAGAGGGAGCGUGACCCUGCCAAUGCCUUGGUUUUGGACUUCCGGCCUCCAGAACUGUGUGAGACAAUUUCUGUCAUUUUAAGCCACCCAGAGGUACUUUGUUAUGGCAGCCUAAGAACACAAAUAGCCAAGAACACAAAUGUCCCUCAAAUGAUAGGACAGAUCCAGGCUUGGCAUCCAGGUGCUCCAACCACCGCCCUGUUGUGAGGACCCAAUCUUCCUGCAUCUGACUUUGGAAACACAAGCUCAAAUGACAGACCAAGGGCAGAAAGAGCAGCUACUGAGGAUGUCCCUGCAUGAUGUCAAGAGCAAUAGCAGGGACAGGUAACACUAAUAGCUGCCCCUUUGGAACACAAACCAUGAGCUAUCAAACUGAUGGCAUGCACACAUUGUUCUGAAACUCAAACAGAAUCUCACCCCAAAGAUCCAGGAACUUUUUAGAACACCCAGAAAGGAACAUGAUUCUACCAAAAGACCCUCAAAACACACAGUGAUUCAUUUUAGGCUUCUUGAUUUCUAAGAUCAUAAACUGCCAAGAAAAAAUGUACAGUAAAUAAUAUUGAAUCAAUGUUAAAUUUCAUAAGAUAAAGCUACUGUGAUUACAUAGGACGAUGUGCUUGUUCUUAUGUGAUACAUGCUGAAAGUGAAGUGUCAUGAUGUUGGCAACUUUCAAAUGAUUUCAGGGGAAAAAAAGAAUAUAUGUAUGAAUAGCAAGCAGAGGUUAAAAAUAUUAACAGUCACAAAUGUAGUGAAGAAUAUAUCAGUGCUCUUGUACUAUUCUUUCAACUUUUCUAUAGGUUUGACAUUUUUCAAAAUGAGAAUUGGGAAAGAGAUCUCAUCAUGAAAGAGAUUGCUUUUGAGUGAAUCUGGAAGAAUGGGGGAAAUUUAGGGAAAGGACAUUGUAGGCACAAAGAACAGCAAGUGCAAGGCCAUGGUAAAAUACAGAAGCUGUAUUUGCUGUACAAGGCCUUUUGCUUAAGCAAAAGUCACAUGGGAAUAAAGAAAAACUACUUUUGGCCAAAAACUGUGCUAGAUCCUGGGCUCAUAAAAUAUAAUCCCUCCCUCAAGGAGCUCGCAGUUUAGGACGUAGUCAAUUUUUAUAUAAGUUUGAAAAUUUUUAUUGUGCCCAGCUCCUAGAGGAUCUUAAAUGGUCAUCUAAUAAGCUUAGAUUUGGCUGGAUAUGAAGUAGGGAACAAUAACAGCAGAUACAAUAAUACAUACUGAAGGCUCACUGUCAAUACCAUUCCUGUAUUAUAUCAUUUACUGUUAAUACCAAUCCCACCAAAUAGGUAAUUUUAUUACCCUCCUUGAAAAGAUGAGCAAUUCAGUCAUAAAGAAAUUAUAUACCUUGCCCAAGGUCAUGCAGUUGGUAAGUGACAGCGCUUGGAUGUGAGCUGUAUGAUCUGGGACCAAAGCCCAUGCAGUUAACUCAUCAACUGCCUCCUCAUUGAGAGAUUUGGAGAAAGAGAGAUGUUCACGGUGACACAUCAGGAAAAUCCAUCUGGUUUUAAGAUAGACUGGAAGCUAAUUUAUUAAAAGUAUCACAAUUAAGGUGACAAAUUCGACAGCAGAAAGCCUUGUGUCCUUCAAAAACACCCAGUUCCCAGUUAGUUAACACCUGGCCAGGUAACUAUCAAAGAUAAUGCCCUAAGGCUUUGGCAUGGGAAUUUAGAGGGGAAUAGGGUUAGAGGCAUGAGGCAGGUGUGGUUGGCUGCCUUCCUGCAGGCAUCUCAUGCCCUUGAUUGCUGGCAAAGCCCACCUCCACCAGAGGCUGUGGGUGUGAGAUUCUCACUUCCCAGACAUUCUUACAGCCAGAGCAAGGGCGUAUGACCCAGUCCUGAUGAUGGAACUCGAUGGGAAGUCUCCUGAGAUCUUCUGCAAAAUGCUUUCUCUCCAAUAAAAAGAGUUGCAAAACAGAAAUCCCUUCCCCUUUUGUGUUUUUUUGUUGUCUGGAUGCAGUAAUUUCUAUAUGAAACUGCUGUCCCCUCAUAACUGUGAGGGAAAAUGUGGCCAACACAGUGGGAACAAGACGGAAGACAUCAGGAUCCUGAAUGACACUGGUCCACUUCACCAAAACUCUUGUAUCCGAUCUUUUGUUUUGUGAUAGAAUAAAUAAAUAUGCCUAAGCCAAGUGCAUGUGUUAUUAAUGUAUUGCCUCUCUGCUUUGAAUGCAUCUUCUAGUAUAUGCUCUGUGAUAAAGGAAUCCAUUUAAGCAGUUCUCC
rnacentral:lncRNA from 1 species